rnacentral:lncRNA from 1 species
CUUCAUUUCUGCACUUGACAUGUUUCACCACUUUUGCUUCCUUCCAUCUAAUAUCUAUGUUGUAUUCUAAUGCUCUAACAUUGAGUGCAGUACUAGUUUCAUAUUUUUCUAUAUUUUUCUUGUGUUCUUUCACUCUGUCUUCUAACUUGCAGAUUGUGUAUCUGAUAUAUUUUCAUUUUCUCUGUUGAGAACUAGAUUGGAAAUUGGAAUUAAACUCCUAUUUUUUUCUUCACCAUAUGUGUCUUUAUCACUUAUUUCAUUUUCUUUCCUAAAUAUAAAAAAGAUUGAUAUUUUUUUUGUGGGUUAUCUUAAAACCUGUAGUGUUUUUAUAUCUCUAUAUACAACAGUCAACAGUAUAAGUUAUCUUGUAACAGUUUGUAUUGGAUCUGAUGAUGGCUCCAAAGGAGAGUUGAAAACAUUUAAUCAAGUGAUUUCGGCAGUCUUGUGCUGGUUUUUAAAUUUACUGUUUAACAAAAUUUCCUUACAUUUAUCAAGCUGUAAAAUUUAUAACAAAGUUAUUAAACAUGGUUUGCUUUAGAACCAAAAUAAUAGUUUGAUAAUAUAAUUUCAUGGCAAUUAAUCACAAUUUAUUUUCGUAAAUUUAAAAAAACACUACAUAGCAGAUGUGUUUUCUUUUAUACGAAUUUAUCUCAGAAGUAUGAGCACUAAUAUAGAACAGUGUAAAUUAUUUAUAUAAGAAAAACUUGUUCACUAAUCAAAGUAUCAGAUAUUAUAUAUUGUAACAUUAUUUUUGGUAUUUUGGCAAAUAAUUUAUAUAUAAUCUUUUUUUUUUUUUAUCUAUUAUCAAAAUGAAUAAAUAUCACUGUGACUUCAAUAACUUUCCUAUAUAUCAUUCUUCAUAGUACAAACAAUGCACUAUUAAAUUUUAUUGUACGAGAUAUGUGUUUAGAGAUUUUAGAUUGUCAAAUCUAAAGGAUAUAAGGCAGAAGACCAAUUAGGAGUGCAUUAUGACUUAGUCAGCUAAUGACAAAGUUGCAAAAUAUUGAAAGAUAGAUGUUAUUAGAAAAAUAUCCUAGAAAUUUGACAACGUACAUUUCAAAUGGAAUACUAUCAUCUUUCACUCAGACAUCUGCUCAAGAUUGUCAAUUUGGAUGUGUUCUUUAUUAUACAAUUGAAUUUAUCCUCAUGAAGUCAGUGGCAAAAUCAAAAUUACUAUUAUUAAAAUUAAUAAAUUAUUCUUGUACUUAUAACAUAAGUUAUGAAUUGUUAGCACACAGACAUUUUCAGUCAAGUAUUUGUUGCAUGUAGUCUUAAAUAUGCAUAAUCAUGAUAUAGUAAACUCUGUUAAUUCAGUCCUCAGUAAUCUAGUCUUCUUGUUAGAUGAAUGUAAAAAUGAUUCCACUGAGAUUAUGUUGAAGGUGUGUUAACAACAUGCAUGAUGAUGUUUUCCAAACAGCAGAAAUACGGGACAUUAUGGAGAGCAUUACCCAUAUUGAAACAAUGGGAAAAAGUGUAUGUUCAAUUGACACCGAGUUAGCAUCAGCAUUGAGUGGUGAUGAUGAGCUAGUCAAUUCAGAAUCAUUAAUUCCAGAAGUAUUUGUUACGUUCCAUAAGCUUUCAGAACGCAAAGCCGACGAUGAGGACAUUACUAAGUGAUUAUAAUGAAAAAAUUAUGGAAUUAGUUUUAAGUUUUAACAGAUGAAGAAAUCAUUGAAAAUUUGCAGGAAGAAAAAGAUGUAAGUGAUGUGGAAGAGGACACUACAGAAGCAAAAACAUCAAGACUUCUCACAGUGCCAAAGCUGCUGACAUCUUCCUGCAGUAUAUAAUGCAACAACUAGAUGGACAAUACUGACAUAAUGCUAAUAAAGUGAUUAUGUGACAAAAUUUGCUAUUAAUGAUCAUCUUCAUUAAUCAAAAGACGAAAAAUCUAUGACAUAUUUUGAAAUGACCACAGUAAGUAUAAAAUGAAAGAUUACAGUUGUGCAUUUAUUUUAUCAUGCAUAGUAUAUAUUGUACUUUACCGAUAUGAAAAGAUUAUUUCAUUAUUGUAAAUGAGGCAAUAUAGAGCAUAUGCUUAUCAUGUUACAUACAUACUGAUCAUGACAUCAUAUGUUUAUCUCUUACUUAUGUUUUUUAAAUAUAUACUACAUACAGUAUGUAGCAUAAAUUAAACAAAGAAUUAAACUAAAUUUUUAUGCAUUCUUAGUAAUCAACACACUUGCUAAUUUGGCAUCCCUUUGCAUAAGGAAUGGCUGGGUUAGCAAGUCUAAUGUAGCUUAUAUUGUUGUUAUAAGACUAUCAAACUUUUAUUAUGUUUUGUGUACGUGUAUGACAGAUUUAUAAAUCCAGCAAGAGAUAUAACUGGAAUUACUAAAAAUUCUAUAUGAAAUAUUAUGGUAUUAGAAGUAUAAAAAAAACAAAAUUUUCCAGAUGUAUUUUUUUAAUGCAUUAUUAAGUUUUAAAUAUAUAUAUUGUGUAUAAAUAUUUUACAUAGAUUAAGAGUAAGUUCUAAUGAUAUUCUGAAAUAAUUAUAUAUUUAAAUUGCAAUUAUUUCAUUAGACCAAAAAUUCAUAUCAUUCAUAAAACAAUAUAUUUAUUUUAGAAAAUGAAAAGCUACACUGUUUCAUUUUCUAGAAUAAAUAUUUUGUUAGAGAGUUAGAGCCAUCAACGUAAACAAAGUGUGAUCUGAUGAUUCAGUUGCAUUAAAUAUUCAAAUGAAAUGGAGAUUAUUUAUAAGAAUGGUGAAUGAAUCUUUAAUAUAACACGACUGCCAAUUUGCACUUUUUACUUACCACGAUGAAUCUUCAACUCUUUAAUGAAAAUUAAUGAGUGUCAUGAUUUAAAUUACUAUUAUUUCAAAACUUAUUAUUUUUCAAUGUGAUAUCAUUGAAUCAAAAAUAUCAAACUAAAGAUCAUAACUUUUACAUACUAUCUUUGGUGGUAUUAAAAAUAAUCUUAUGCUGUUGCAAUUACUUAAAUAAAUAAAUAAAGUUUUAACUUGUCUGAACUUAUCACUUUUACUUUGAUUUAAACUGAUAAAUAGUUAAGAUAUUAAGUAUACAAAUAGUCCUUGACUUACAUAUUAUCAACUUAUGAUCAGUUGUAUAGUCAAUAAACUUUUUAGUAGGAUAACGUAAUUCACGUGUAUGAGUCCAUGCACAAUGGUGUGAUAUAUCAGUAGCAUCCAUUCUGUAUCUAGUCUUAGUUUUGUGUUCAUUAAAUUUACUAGGUUGCUGCAUUAUACUGUAAUGAACAACAGUUAUAGGCAAUCAAUAGAUAUAAAUUAUUUUCAACUUAAGACAAUAUAAAUGUAUUGGUAGGUAAUUCCAAUCAAAUCAAAUCCCAUAAGGUAAGUUGAAGACUCUCUCUAUUUUAAAAUUAAAAAUGCAUUAAGAAAAUCAUCUAAUAUGAGGAAGAAUGCAAGCCGAAUUGAAUAGUAAUACAGUGGACUUGCACUUUUAUGAACCUCCAAUUUAUGAACUACACUUUUUACAAACUAUUUAGUUGAUACCAAAAAGUCCCUAAUGUUAGUUAAUGCCAUUCCCUUUUACAAACAUUUUUGAGGUCCGUAUAAGUUCAUAAAAUCGAAAAUCCACUGUAUAUACUAUUAAGCAACUUUUAGAAUUUUCAAAAUGAUGAUAAUUUUGAAAUUUAUAUUAAAAAUUUUAUUAUAAAAUUAUUUAUUUAUCAAUUAGAAAUUAUUUCACUAUAUUUGCCAUUUUUACAUUUGCAUAUAUGUUAUGCAAAAAUAAAAAUGUAAUACACUCUUCCUUAAUGUAAUAACAUACACUCUUCCUUAAUGUAGCAGAAUGUCAAUUAUCCAAACCAUUACCAACAAAACGCAUUACAGUAUUCGUUUAAUGCACCGAUUUCUGUGUUAAAGUAUUAUUCUUGCUACUUAAUGCAUUUAUUUCCAAUUAUUUAUUUGAAGAUAUAUACAAUAUAGCAUAGAAAUAGUCUUGGUUUGUAAAUAAUAACCAAAAUUAGCCAUCAUCUGAUUUUUAAUUCAUAAUGACAAAUUAUUCCCUAAAUUAUUUUUUUAUAAUACUUCAUAUUUUAAAAUAUAACAUUAAUAACCUUAUGUAAAUAAUUUAAAUGUAGGCAUUUUUUUCUAUAAACAAUUGAAUAUUCUCGUAUUUAUUUGAUUAUUCAGACUAUUUGAUUUAACUGAACAACAUUGGUUCCCAAUUAGUUCGGAUAAUCGAUACACUACAUUUCAUAAAAUGUAAUAUACAUAUCACGAUCUUUUGUACACUCAGGAACAAUAAAGGUAGCUACUAGUGCUACAGAUUUGUUAAUAUAAAAAAUUUUUAUCAAAUUCAUUUUUUAUCAAUUUAUUCUAAUACUAGACGAUGUGAAGAAAUUUUUGAACAUUUGGUGAUAUGCAAAAAAAAUUUAAAUAACUGCUGCUCUUUUUGAAACAUCAUUAUAAAUAUUAUAUAUUGUUACAUAUAGUUUGUAUGAAUAAAAUGCAUAAUCAAAAAAUUAAAAUCAAAAUGGAUAAUAUCCAAACUUCUCAGAUUUUUAAUCCUCUACUGCAGUGUUUCCCAGUCAAUAAAUUAUAAAAUUACAUACAUGCAGUUGCAGAUUGCUUUCCCUGAUAAAUCAUAAAAAUUUCAGAUUAAAAAUGAAAACUAAACACUUGUAACUAAUUUAAUUAUAAAUAAUUCUCAUGGCAAAAAUUAAGAAAAAUAAAAUCACAAAAAUAUAUAACAACAAUAUAUUUGUUAGUCAUAUUAAACAUGAAUCAUAAAGCAUAUAUAUAAGCAAUUCAAAUUUUUAUAAGUUUGUAUUUUUCAAACUGUUCCAUUGAUUAUAAUGAUGAUCAUUAUACAUGUAUAUGAUUAGAGUGUAUAAGAAAUAUUUAUUAAUUGUGGUGCAUUAAAUUAACUUUUUAUAUACAUAAUACUGUAUAUAAAAGAAAUGUUUUUCAUUUCUGAAAAAACACUUAGAAUCAAGCAUGUAAAAUAAUGUUUAUGAAGAUGAUUGCAGCAAUAUGGCCUUCCAAUACAUUAUGAAGUGGUGAUUGAUUAAAAAAAAGGUUGGGAAACACUGCUUUACUGUAUAAUGUAUAAAUUAUGUGUUAUAUAUUUUACACUAUUCAAUCUCAUUUCAGAUGAUUCACUUAAUUUUUUUGUUGUUAUUUUAUAAAUAAAACAGAAAAAUUGACUGUAGAAAGAAUUUUAUAUUCAGUUGGCUGGUCGUUGAAAGUAUAAAAAAUGCAAAUAAAAGAGAUUUUCAACUGAAAACAAUUUAGGAAACAAUGGUUUCACCUUUCUGUAUAGUAAUAGAUGUGUAUAUUAAUAGGUUGAAUGGGUUAUACACAAGAUAAAUAACAGAUGUUUUAUUGCUUAUAAUCUAGUGUUAUACAUUAACUCCUUGUCACAUCUUGUUUAAUAUUAAGUAAUGAAAUUAUAAGCUCAUCAGUUGCUUAUAAUCUAGAAACUGAUUUCUAUUAGUACACAUUUAUUUAUUAUAACUACAUUAGAUUUGAAAAUAAAUCAUUUGUAUUUUUUAAUAUUGGAUAUAGACAAC